GACGAACCGUGCGAACGUUGUUCGGAUUCACUGGGCUUAAAGGGCGCGUAGGCGGCGCGACAAGUCGGGGGUGAAAUCUUCCGGCCCAACCGGAAAAGGGCCCCCGAUACUGGCGCGCUGGAGGGAGGUAGGGGCAUGUGGAACUCCAGGUGGAGCGGUGAAAUGCGUAGAUAUCUGGAGGAACGCCGGUGGCGAAAGCGACGUGCUGGACCUUCACUGACGCUGAGGCGCGAAAGCCAGGGGAGCAAACGGG
rnacentral:rRNA from 1 species